rnacentral:rRNA from 1 species
GAUGAACGCUAGCGGCAGGCCUAAUACAUGCAAGUCGAACGGUGUAGCAAUACACAGUGGCGCACGGGUGCGUAACACGUAUGCAACCUACCUAUCAUUGGGGGAUAGCCUUUGGAAACGGAGAUUAAUACCGCAUAAGACAGUAACAUGGCAUCAUGUAGCUGUUAAAGCUUCGGCGAUGAUUGAUGGGCAUGCGUCCAAUUAGUUAGUUGGUGAGGUAAUGGCUCACCAAGACGAUGAUUGGUAGGGGAUCUGAGAGGAUAAUCCCCCACACUGGCACUGAGAUACGGGCCAGACUCCUACGGGAGGCAGCAGUAGGGAAUAUUGGGCAAUGGGCGGAAGCCUGACCCAGCCAUGCCGCGUGCAGGAUGAAGGCGUUAUGCGUUGUAAACUGCUUUUUUAUAGGAAGAAGGAGACCUUGCGAGGUUUGGUGACGGUACUAUAAGAAUAAGCACCGGCUAACUACGUGCCAGCAGCCGCGGUAAAAC